GUCUACAGCCAGGCCACCCCGAACAAGCCCUAUCCCGUCUGAUCUCAGAAGCUAAGCAGGGUCGGGCCUGGUUAGUAUUUGGAUGGGAGACCACCUAGGAAGAUCAGGUGCUGUAGGCA
rnacentral:rRNA from 1 species